AUUCCAUUCAGUAGUCCCGGACGAAUUAGAAUUUAACGUACGGUUUGGACAUAAUGGAGAAAUAAAAUAUUGCUCUUUUUGCAGCGGAGCUGAACUUUAUGUUCUCUUUGCUAGCCAUAAGUGUAAAACAAUA
rnacentral:ncRNA from 13 species